UACGUAGGGUGCGAGCGUUGUCCGGAAUUAUUGGGCGUAAAGGGCUCGUAGGCGGUUUGUCGCGUCGGGAGUGAAAACUCAGGGCUUAACCCUGAGCCUGCUUCCGAUACGGGCAGACUAGAGGUAUGCAGGGGAGAACGGAAUUCCUGGUGUAGCGGUGAAAUGCGCAGAUAUCAGGAGGAACACCGGUGGCGAAGGCGGUUCUCUGGGCAUUAACGGACGCUGAGGAGCGAAAGUGUGGGGAGCGAACAGG
rnacentral:rRNA from 1 species